UACGAAGGGGGCUAGCGUUGCUCGGAAUUACUGGGCGUAAAGCGCACGUAGGCGGCUCUUUAAGUCGGGGGUGAAAUCCUGGAGCUCAACUCCAGAACUGCCUUCGAUACUGAAGAGCUUGAGUUCGGGAGAGGUGAGUGGAACUGCGAGUGUAGAGGUGAAAUUCGUAGAUAUUCGCAAGAACACCAGUGGCGAAGGCGGCUCACUGGCCCGAUACUGACGCUGAGGCACGAAAGCGUGGGGAGCAAACAGG
rnacentral:rRNA from 1 species